GAUGAACGCUGGCGGCGUGCCUAAUACAUGCAAGUCGAGCGGCAGCGCGAGUAGUUUACUACUUGGCGGCGAGCGGCGGACGGCUGAGUAACACGUAGGAACGUACCCCAAAGUGAGGGAUAACUGCUCGAAAGAGUAGCUAAUACCGCAUGUGGUCUAAGGAUUAAAGCUUCGGCGCUUUGGGAACGGCCUGCGUUCGAUUAGCUAGUUGGUAAGGUAAAAGCUUACCAAGGCGACGAUCGAUAGCUGGUCUGAGAGGAUGAUCAGCCAGACUGGGACUGAGACACGGCCCAGACUCCUACGGGAGGCAGCAGUGGGGAAUUUUGGACAAUGGGCGAAAGCCUGAUCCAGCAAUGCCGCGUGUGUGAAGAAGGCCUUCGGGUUGUAAAGCACUUUUGUCCGGAAAGAAAUGGCUCUGGUUAAUACCUGGGGUCGAUGACGGUACCGGAAGAAUAAGGACCGGCUAACUACGUGCCAGCCGCCGCCGUAA
rnacentral:rRNA from 1 species